GCCUAUGGCCAAACCAGCCAGAUCAUGCCUCAUCUCAUCUGUCACAGAAGCUAAGCAGGGUUGGGCCUGGUUAGUAUUGGAGGAGAAGCAUCUAAAAGAAGUUGGAGACAAGGAG
rnacentral:rRNA from 1 species